GGAUGAAGAACGUAGCGAAUUGCGAUAUGUAAUGUGAAUUGCAGAAUUCAGUGAAUCAUCGAAUCUUUGAACGCACAUUGCACCCUCUGGUAAUCCAGAGGGUAUGCCUGUUUGAGUGUCAUUAACAACAUCAAAUGCAGACUUUGUGCUGUAAUUUGGAUCUUGAAGGCUCUGCUGACAGACAAUGUUAGCUCCUUUUAAAUGCAUUAGCAGGUUGCAAACAACUGGCCCCAGUUUGAUAGAUUGGAUUUAUCCGUGCUGUCGCUAGCAAUUGUUUGAUCGCUUCCAAUCGUCUCUUGACUGCCAGUAGGCAAUACAUUUUAACUCUUGACCUCAAAUCAGGUAGGAUUACCCGCUGAACUUAAGCAUAUCAAUAAGCGGAGGA
rnacentral:misc_RNA from 1 species